UUUUAAGCUAACCUAGUAGUUAGCUGGAUUUUCUAAGAAAAAUCCUAACCUAAAAAGGGGGGUAUGUAACGCUUCGUUACACUAUUCUUAAAAACUAAAAUCGAAAUUAUUAAAAACAACUAUUUUAUAAUUUAAAAAAAAAGAAAACAAUAAUAUACAAUUAAAUCAGAAAAAUACUAACAUUUAAUAAAUUAUAAUAUUUAUAGAAAGAACUGUUUUUGUAAGCAAACUGCGCGAUACCAUUGUUAUUAUAUCUUUGGAGCGAACGAACGAACGCCGAAUGAUUCAAGGCGCGGCGAAUGCUCGCAGCGAUCGCGAAUCCAUCACUGUGUCUCGCGAAACAUCCGUACGCAGACACGUACCACUUUAACUGCAGAUUUUUUAAAUAUAAGGUUUACGAACUCGUGAAGUUUUUACACCUCAGAAUCUAAUUAAGUCUGUGUACGUCACCCCGAUAACGGGGAUCCAGUACCGGAUUUCGAUUGCUGCUCCCGGCUCACUCUCCAUAAUCAGGCUUACGGCGGAGGUGAUUGCUGCAUUUUUGUCAUCGGACUACCCUACGAUAUCACAACUUCGUGACCCCAACUUCGUGUCAACGCUUCUCCACGGAUAAAAGGGCAGUGGUUUUGAUUGAGCUUAAGACUGGUGAUUCUUCGCGUUGCAAUUGUUUAUCCACUCCCUGAAGAGUCGUAAUUAAACCUUUUUGUUAAAUUUAAAA